GAAAGUCUAGAUCCAUCCUCUUUGGAACCCCCUUUCAGGUAGUUGAAAGCAGCUCUCAAAUCCCGCCUCAAUUUUUCUCUUUUCUUCAAUCCUGUAUUAUAAUGCAAUCCCACCAGUCAGUGCUUCUUUUUUGGGUCCAGAAGCAGUGCUCCACGAUUUGCAGCUGCUCCGUGAAUGCCAACAAGAACCUUGAAUUGGUCCUCUGUGUCCCACAGCAAUCUGUCAUCCAAGGAAUCAUCCUGUUCCCCGCAUCUCUUCUUGUGGUUCUGCAGUUACUGCAGGAACGUGCACCCUGUGCUUGCAAUACUCAUUAAAAUAGUGCAGAGGUGUGCAGGAUCCAUGCUUUUGUCAGAGAUGGCAGACAGCGAGGAGAGCCAAACGGGUUUGUGGGAUUUUGAAAAAAAGUCUCCAAAAUUAUGGGAUAAAGAUGGCAGUUUGGGAUGGAGACCGUUGCAAACUGGAAAGUUGACCCCAUGCUUCCAAUAACCCUGCCCAACUCAUUUCUGCCCCAUCAAACAUGGUCAAAACUUCCUAAAAGACAGUGCACCGGUUGGUGGCGAGUUGCACAGUGGGAUACUUAUCCAUGGUGCACCACAGUCUGCAUCGAUACAAGUGCUCCUGGUGAGUACGCGCUCUGCUGACACAACGAGCUCACACAAGCGAUGCACUAACUGCAGCAGCUGUAUGCUGAUGUAAGUCUGUAAUGUAGACAUGGCCAUAGUCAGUGCUUUGCUGUAUAUCUAAAUGAGAACGGUGUUAACCAGAAACCCCUUCAAAAAACAGUUUACAUGUGAUUAUCUGGAUUAGCAUUCUCUAUUGAGAGCCUGCAGGCACGGUAAAUAUUUUUUUUUAAAUGCAUGGAGCACUAAAAGGUGUUUUUAUAUGAUCUAAUCAGAAAUAGAUUAGAAAGCUUAAUGUCCUGAAGAAUCCAAAACUUAAAAGCAGGGAUUUGCAGACUGUAGCUGAGCCGUAGCUGUAUUUAUUUUGACGGUCUGCCUCCUCACUUUGGAUAUUUGAUCUCAAAUUUAAAACAGCAGCUAUAAAAAUUCAGGACACUCUUCUGCAGUUCACACUCUCAUAUAUUAGAAUUUAAUAUGUAGAAUAUUAGUCUCACAUGGGCAUCUUAUUCUUCUGCUGUGUUUGUUACUUGGCAUCCAGAAGGCCGUUAAUUCUGUCACUGUUCAUAUAAUUUUGGCUCUUAAAACUACAACUUUGAAUAGGGAAGACAAACCUUUUUGAAGUUAAGACAUGAGUAGUGUACACGAAGUAUGAAACGUGGACUGUGAAAAAUAGUUGGUGGAAACCUUUUUUAACACUAACUUCUAGAUAUGUAAUAAAAGCCUGGAGAUCACUGUCUGAAAUAAAGCUGUUUGAAUAUUCUUUAAUUAUACUAACCUUUGAAGAUAGCAUCUAAGAUACUAAUGCAGUGCAUGGGAUAGAGUAUCCCUUUUUGUAUUAUACUUGCAGCUUUUAAUUUUCAAAUAUUUUAGCAAAAGACUUGGGACCAGAAUUGAGUGUGUUUACAUUUGUAGAGCAUGGGCACAUCAAAAUAUUAAGCAAAAGUCAUCUUGGUUUUUAAACUCAGCUGGACUCUAGUAAACUUGGUAACAGAACAGUAUCUUUUAAAAAACGUUAAACCACAACACUAGUCUAGAUCCAUGUUAUAAAGGGAUACUCUGUUAGAUAUUUCAUUGUUUUGAUAUUAAACAGUGGAGCGUUAGGCCUUGUUAACACCGGGAGCAGAACCAUGCAAGCCACAGCUGACCUGGUUAUGCUCCCAGUAUAGGUUAAGGCCUUACAGUUUAAUAAGGUUUUAAACAGGUUUUGCUAUUUUUCAGCUACCAGCGUGUUUGAUCAUAUUGAUGAUUUGGGUGGUAACUUCAGGAAGUAAUCUACCUUGAGAUGAGAUCACUGUUGGCAUACUGUACUAGUUCUGUUCUGCUAUCUUAUGCCAGAGGUGAAUUUGGUCUAGGGAAUUUACACAAUUAGGAUAGUAGAUAAAUUCCAAUCACAGACAUUUUUAAGUCUUUCAUAGUCAAGUCAGGGAUUCAAGUUAACUGCACAAGUGGAGAAGAUGUGCCACAUCUGACUUGCUGGUAGCUGAAUUGAUGUCCAACAUGGUAGAGGCGGAGAAAGAAAACAAAUCUUAAAAGGGGGCAAAUAGCCUGUUUGCAAGUCUCUCUAGUUUAUUUUACUGCUUACUAUGCAAUGUAGAACUUUGAACUUUUGCAUUUACCUUGAUAGAAAACAGAGGGGUACUGUCGUCUAUUUAAUAUUUUGGAACUGAACACUCACUGUCUCUGAAACUCACUUCACAGGUAUAAGAUGCCUAUUUGCUGCUAUUGACUUUCUUUACCUUCCAGAUUCCUCCUUUUUCUUUCUUAGCCCCCUUUCGCUGAAUCACCAUACAAAGUUUUAUUACAAAUAUUUCAUUUAGACAGUUUUUUGUGCCACCCAACACUGGUGAUUUUUUUUUCUGGAGUGCUAUAUUACUGUAUGUAAAACAACAGUUUUCAGCUGGACUGUUAAAGGUGCAGCAUGAAUAUAGACCUGCCUGUUUCUUCCACCAGAAAAUUCCCACCAUUAUUUAGAGCCUUGUUUUCUUGAUUGGUAACUUCAUUUGAGUUUUCCAAACUGAAUCACUAGCACCUCUAGUGUUGAGGUUUUAAAACUGUGUAAAAGUUUUGAUGUUUUAUCUUUGUAGUAGAUAACUAACAUGGACAUUCAUAGUAUUACGCACAUUUUUUCUCCUUUUAAAAUAUAAUUUCCUCUUAACAACUGAAGACUGCAAAAUGACUAAAUUUCAAAAAGCUCAUUUUUGUUUUAAGAACUCUCCUUAAAUUGUUCUUCAUAGAUUACUGUAUUUUUAGGGGAAAUUAAUUUUUAUAGCCAUUAAACUGUACUCAUUAUUUUUGUACUUGUGCAACUAGGGACAUUUUGGGACACAAAUCUUGAAGGGAACACUUAAUUCUUUGCUGUUUUGAUUCUUCCUAUAUGCUGGAGUUGUACUGCUAAGUACUACUACUGGAAGCAAUAUCUUGAUGUGCAAUGGAGGUGAGAGAAGAAUGCAAAAAAGUGAAUGAGGUUUGAAUAAAAAUUAAUUGCUGGAGGCAAAAGGAUAUUGCAAAAGCGACACUGUAACCUUCAUAUUCACUUCUUUAUACAUCGUAAAGCAGCUGGAAGAAAAAAUAGGUGUAAAAUAUUAAAUGCAACAUGGGAAUCCGUACUGUAAGCUAACCGUGCCAAUAUUGCUUCAGUUUGUAGGCUUUAUUGAUUGGUAUUUUAGUUUUAGAUCAAAACAGCUUUUGAUUAGAAAGAAAAAGUUGAAUGUCUGAAAAUCUGCAACAUGUUUAUUUGAGAGAUGUAAAUAAUGUAUACAGAUUGCUGUAUGUGAUGGGAUGAAAAAAUAUUUAAAUUCUAGGUUUUUUCAGUAAGAAACUGAAUGCUGUUUAUAAGAAAAAUAAUAAAUAGCUAUGUUUGA